rnacentral:tRNA from 1 species
GCGACACUAGCUCAGUUGGUAGGGCGCAACCUUGCCAAGGUUGAGGUCACGAGUUCGAACCUCGUGUGUCGCUCCA